rnacentral:rRNA from 1 species
UACGUAGGGUGCAAGCGUUAAUCGGAAUUACUGGGCGUAAAGCGUGCGCAGGCGGUGAUGUAAGACAGAUGUGAAAUCCCCGGGCUCAACCUGGGAACUGCAUUUGUGACUGCAUCGCUGGAGUGCGGCAGAGGGGGAUGGAAUUCCGCGUGUAGCAGUGAAAUGCGUAGAGAUCGGCAGGAACACCCAGGGGGAAACCAGUGGACUGGGCAUGUGCUGACGCUCAGGUGCGAAAGCGUGGGGAGCGAACCGG